ACGUUGGGCGCUAGGUGUGGGGUCCAUUCCACGGAUUCCGUGCCGCAGCUAACGCAUUAAGCGCCCCGCCUGGGGAGUACGGCCGCAAGGCUAAAACUCAAAGGAAUUGACGGGGGCCCGCACAAGCGGCGGAGCAUGCGGAUUAAUUCGAUGCAACGCGAAGAACCUUACCUGGGUUUGACAUACACCGGAAAGCCUCAGAGAUGGGGCCCCUUUUGUCGGUGUACAGGUGGUGCAUGGCUGUCGUCAG
rnacentral:rRNA from 1 species